rnacentral:rRNA from 1 species
UACGAAGGGGCUAGCGUUGUUCGGAAUUACUGGGCGUAAAGCGCGCGCAGGCGGUCUUCCAAGUCAGUGGUGAAAGCCCGGAGCUCAACUCCGGAACUGCCAUUGAAACUGUUAGACUUGAGGACGAGAGAGGUGAGUGGAAUUCCCAGUGUAGAGGUGAAAUUCGUAGAUAUUGGGAAGAACACCGGUGGCGAAGGCGGCUCACUGGCUCGGUAUCUGACGCUCAGGCGCGACAGCGUGGGAUCGAAACAAGG